AGCAGCCGCGGUAAUUCCAGCUCCAAUAGCGUAUAUUAAAGUUGUUGCAGUUAAAAAGCUCGUAGUUGAAUUUCGGGAUCAAUAUAUCGGUCGUGCCAUUGGUACGUACUGGUAUCAUUGGUUUCUCCUUUCUGACGAACCAUGAUGUCAUUAAUUUGGUGUUAUGGGAAGUUAGGACUGUUACUUUGAAAAAAUUGAGUGUUUAAAGCAGGCGCACGCUUGAAUACAUUAGCAUGGAAUAAUGAAAUAGGACGUUUGAUUCUAUUUUGUUGGUUUCUAGGAUCGACGUAAUGAUUAAUAGGGAUAGUUGGGGGCAUUAGUAUUCAAUUGUCAGAGGUGAAAUUCUUGGAUUUAUUGAAGACUAACUACUGCGAAAGCAUUUGCCAAGGAUGUUUUCAUUAAUCUAAGAACGAAAGUUAGGGGAUCGAAGACGAUCAGAUACCGUCGUAGUCUUAACCAUAAACUAUGCCGACUAGGGAUCGGAUGAUGUUAAUUUUUUAAUGUACUCA
rnacentral:rRNA from 1 species